GACGAACGCUGGCGGCGUGCUUAACAUAUGCAAGUGGUGCGACGAACCGGGCUUCGGCCCGGGGCAAAGCCGCGAACGGGUGAGUAACACGUGGGUAACCUGCCCUGAAGACCGGGACAACCCGAGGAAACUCGGGCCAAUACCGGAUGUGUUCACUGUCCACAAGAACAGUGAGAAAAGGAAGCUUCGGCCUCCGCUUCAGGAUGGGCCCGCGGCCCAUUAGCUUGUUGGUGAGGUAACGGCUCACCAAGGCUGCGAUGGGUAGCUGGUCUGAGAGGACGAUCAGCCACACUGGGACUGAGACACGGCCCAGACUCCUACGGGAGGCAGCAGUGGGGAAUCUUGCGCAAUGCGCGACAGCGUGACGCAGCAACGCCGCGUGGGGGAAGAAGGCCUUCGGGUUGUAAACCUCUUUCAGGAGGGACGAAGCUCCGGCAGCGAAUAGCUGUCCGGAGUGACGGUACCUCCACAAGAAGCCCGGCUAACUACGUGCCAGCCGCCGCCGUAA
rnacentral:rRNA from 1 species